ACCACAUUCUUUAUCCAGCCAUCUGCUGUUGGACACCUACGUUGAUUCCAUAUCUUGACUAUUGUGAAUAGACAUGGGGCUGCAGAUACCGACGUGUGAGCCCUGUGAGGAAGGAAACCCCAGCUCGUGAGACAUUGACUAGUGUGUGACCUCGAGCAAGUUGCCACCAUCCGUCAGAUGGGUAAUGUGGUGCCUGCCUUUGGGGCUGUGAUGGGAUUGAAUGAGCACAGCUGCAUGUUUCACCUUGCACGGAGCCUGGCACGUGGGAACCCUGGCUGACAGAAUCCAGUGCACGGAAGAAGGAGUGAGCUAGCGGAGGAGUGACGGUGUCCGCACACGGGAGCUCGCCCAGCGUGGUGCAGACGGUGCUGUCAGCCCGAACCUCUGUCAUGUAGUUGCUUUUUGU